rnacentral:RNase_P_RNA from 2 species
GUUUCGCGUUGGAUGGCUACUCUCCGCCUCUGGCGGAGGGAGGAAAGUCCGAACUGUCUCCCGUUGAUAAAACGGGAUAAAAGGGUAGCGGGUAACGCCCGUCUGGAGCAAUCCACGAGGUGCGAACAGAGACGAGCUCCGACUUCGCGUCGGAGGUGAAACGGCUAAAUCCUUACCUGGCUGCAAGGCCGUGUCCCGAGAGCAAUCGAGGGAAGUGCCGCUUGACUCUGAUGGCAACAUCGGAGCUAGAUAAAUGGUCAUCGUUCCGAUGUAAAAAUCGGGAUACAGAAUUCGGCUUAUAGACGCGGAAUCAAA